UUUGUUAUACAGGUAAAUAGUAUCUUUCUUUAUUAUUAGAAUGAAAUUGAUGUAGAUUGAGGAAAACAGAAUGAAGAACGCUUAUGUCCACCAAAAGACUGGAUCACAAGGCAGUCUAACAACAGCGUUACUUGUGUCAAAUGUUUCUCUAAUGAAGAAUCUACUGCAGACAGGGAAAUGUGGAGAUAAUGAUAAGUGUAUAGCUGGUGUAGCUUUGUUGUGUGUGUCAAUAUUGUUGCAAGUAACAGCUGGAAUUAUGCUGGUUAUAUUGGCACCAAGAGAACAGAAAAGUUCAAAUCUAAAAAAAAGAGAUAGGGAAUCUAGUGCCAUGGAAACGGAAGAUCAAAUAGAAGUAAAAGCCAAUAUUAGAAGAUCAAGAGACAUCCUAAAUGACCGGAUCAACACAACAGUGCUGAUACUGACAUUUCUUAUUGCAGUGAUAAAUGUUGUUAUAAACGGAAUUGGGAUUUAAAUUCAAGAUUUACAAGUUGAAUGUGUACUUAAUUACUCUGAACGAAUUGUUGAACAUAUUCAGAUAAGUUUCAAGUACUUGCUGUAGCUUUUCAAGUAAUUUGUACACGAACUAAUCCUGUAAGAUAUCCAUCCAAUAACACUGUGAAAAAAAUUCAUUAAUUCAGAUAAUUUACUAAAUUCAAAUUUUGACCAUAUUGAAAUGUUAGAUUAGAAAUCGUUUUCUUCAAUUACAAAAUACCAAACUCUAUGAAAACUAUAUCUUUGAAAUUUGAAAAGACCAAACUCAUUAUGAAUAUGCAUCAACUGAAACAAAACUAAUUAAAGGUAGUUUAUAACUCUUAUAUAAAACUAUAUCAUAAAAUCAUCAGGAUACUUAAAAAGUGCAGUGACUAAAUGUUGACAUUAGGCUUAUAUUUUGCCUUAUUUGUUAUGUUGAUUGUAUAUUUUGCGAUUUUUGUUGGUAAGUAGACAAAUUUGAGGCAAUAUCGAAAGUAAAAAUCCUAUGUAUAUUGCACACUUGUUAAAUUUCAAUUCAAUUUGCCAAUUGGUUUUCUGGUCGAAACAAGAAUAAGUGUUCAUAACAAUGUCCAACUCAUACUAACAUAUGUCCAUGUUUACUGAACCAAGAAAUUGGAGUUAAAAUCUAAUUUUCCAUACAAUUUUAAAAAUUGGCCUCAAAAUGAACAUGUGAACUAAGAUAAAAGUUGAUGUGACCACUACUUCCGGUCAGCUAUCUUAACCAAUAAACUGUUAAAACAGA